rnacentral:rRNA from 1 species
AACGCGAAGAACCUUACCAAGGCUUGACAUAUACCUGCAAAGGCUGGAAACAGUCUCCUCGCAAGACAGGUAUACAGGUGGUGCAUGGUUGUCGUCAGCUCGUGUCGUGAGAUGUUGGGUUAAGUCCCGCAACGAGCGCAACCCUCGUUCUAUGUUGCCAGCGCGUAAUGGCGGGAACUCAUAGGAGACUGCCGGGGUCAACUCGGAGGAAGGUGGGGAUGACGUCAAAUCAUCAUGCCCCUUAUGUCUUGGGCUUCACGCAUGCUACAAUGGCCGGUACAAAGGGCUGCAAUACCGCAAGGUGGAGCGAAUCCCAAAAAGCCGGUCUCAGUUCGGAUUGAGGUCUGCAACUCGACCUCAUGAAGUCGGAGUCGCUAGUAAUCGCAGAUCAGCAACGCUGCGGUGAAUACGUUCCCGGGUCUUGUACACACCG